GAUGAACGCUGGCGGCGUGCCUAAUACAUGCAAGUCGAGCGAACAGACGAGGAGCUUGCUCCUUCGACGUUAGCGGCGGACGGGUGAGUAACACGUAGGUAACCUACCUAUAAGACUGGGAUAACUUCGGGAAACCGGAGCUAAUACCGGAUAAUAUUUCGAACCGCAUGGUUCGAUAGUGAAAGAUGGCUUUGCUAUCACUUAUAGAUGGACCUGCGCCGUAUUAGCUAGUUGGUAAGGUAACGGCUUACCAAGGCAACGAUACGUAGCCGACCUGAGAGGGUGAUCGGCCACACUGGAACUGAGACACGGUCCAGACUCCUACGGGAGGCAGCAGUAGGGAAUCUUCCGCAAAGGGCGAAAGCCUGACGGAGCAACGCCGCGUGAGUGAUGAAGGUCUUCGGAUCGCAAAACUCUGUUAUUAGGGAAGAACAAACGUGUAAGUAACUGUGCACGUCUUGACGGUACCUAAUCAGAAAGCCACGGCUAACUACGUG
rnacentral:rRNA from 1 species